AUUGAACGCUGGCGGCAGGCCUAACACAUGCAAGUCGAACGGUAACAGGAAGCAGCUUGCUGCUUUGCUGACGAGUGGCGGACGGGUGAGUAAUGUCUGGGAAACUGCCUGAUAGAGGGGGAUAACUACUGGAAACGGUAGCUAAUACCGCAUAACGUCGCAAGACCAAAGAGGGGGACCUUAGGGCCUCUUGCCAUCGGAUGUGCCCAGAUGGGAUUAGCUAGUAGGUGGGGUAACGGCUCACCUAGGCGACGAUCCCUAGCUGGUCUGAGAGGAUGACCAGCCACACUGGAACUGAGACACGGUCCAGACUCCUACGGGAGGCAGCAGUGGGGAAUAUUGCACAAUGGGCGCAAGCCUGAUGCAGCCAUGCCGCGUGUAUGAAGAAGGCCUUCGGGUUGUAAAGUACUUUCAGCGGGGAGGAAGGGAGUAAAGUUAAUACCUUUGCUCAUUGACGUUACCCGCAGAAGAAGCACCGGCUAACUCCGUG
rnacentral:rRNA from 1 species